ACGCUAUUUGGGUGAGUUGGGCCGCCAGGUAAUAGAAGUAUAGGUUUGGCAAUCCCAGACCUCCCCUCGCUUUCGCUCUGUAAAGAACAUUGCGAGACAUCCUAUAAUUUUUAUUCUGCCAAAUGAAUUUUCCAAUAGCUUGUUGAAGUACUCCUAAAUUUGACUUAGUUAAUCGGACCGGGAGAGUUUGAAAUAGGAACAGUAUCCUAGGGAGGAUAUUCAUUUUCACAGAGUGAAUCCUACCUAUCCAAGAUAUUGGUUUAUCAACCCACUUCUCCAUGUCCUCCAUUAAGGUACGAAUCAUGGGUAUAUAGUUUUGUUGGAAUAAUUGGUUGGGGUCGGCAGUCAACCAAACACAACAAUGUGUGUGUUCUUAUAUAGAGAAAUGGAUAUGCAAGAUAUGUGCAGGACAAGAGAAUGAUAUAACCAAU